AAACAAACGCUAAUGGUGGCGUAAACAUGAUCAAGAGGAGUCUUGGGCUUUCUAUCGGUCUUCAACACAAUAAUCAGGCAAAUAAUCCCGUCAAUCAUAUCAUAAUAAUCAAGAAGAAACCCUAAACGCGUAUGCCUCUCCACCACCUACACAUCUCUAUUCAAGUUUUAGUGUUACGUUGAAACGUUGCUAAUGGCUUAGGUUUGGCUGCAACUUCAUUGGAUCAAAUUCUGAAAUUCGCUUUACAAACAACAUUUGAUUGCAUUACUACCAGCAGAUUCGAGAUUGGUUAGCAAAUUGUUGAAUUUAGCUAUUAACAGUGUCGAGCUGCGGUAGUGUUGGACUGGGCAGUAAAGUGAGGUUUUCGACCCCCAACUUCAGCUAUUAACAAUGUGUACAAGAGCUUUAGCUGGGAUCACUACAGUGUCAUGCUUUAUAUUUAGCUGGGUUUGGCUUUGGUUUGUAAUUAUGUGAAGAAAUUUUGAGGAGGAAAAUGGUGGUGUGCAGUAGUGGGGUUUAGCUUAUGGAGGGACGAUGUGGUCUUGUUAAGGCUGACGAUGUUCAGUUGGAGCAACAUUGCGAGGCUAAGGCCAAGGACAGUACUUACGCAAGGUCAGUGACACCGGUUCAUCCACCAAAAUUUCCCUAAAUAUUUCCAAGCAUGGAGAAGCUUGAAUUUUUCCGUUUGAGGUUUUUAUUUAUUGGAAAUCAAAAUGCCCAACCAUGGUUGUAGCUAAGUGGUAAUGUAUCAGAGGUACAUAGUCUAGAUUUUCUAGCAGUUAGUUCGAUAAGUUCAAAACUUUAUUUUUCUAUCUUUUGAUUAUUUAUUUUUGGUGCUUCAAAUUUUGUUUUGAUUUCAUUUUUAGGUGCUUCAAAUUCUCCUGAAAUUUUUAAAUCUUGGUGUAGGCUUAAGUCUUGGGUUUAUCGAACCAUUGCUCACAAAUUGGAAAAACGCUAGCAUUAGUGCUCGAAAAUGCAUAGAUUUCCAUGCCAGAAAGAAAAAAAUAUUCCUAUAACAUGGAAUAAAGGUAGAGGUUAUAAAUGCUAUCAAAAUUAUGUUCAGUGCAAUACAUAUAUCUAUCUAUUACUGUUGUUUAUAGUUGCAGCCAUAUCCAGUACGCAGAAAUCCAAAGACAGAUUUGGAAACAAAAACGAAUUGUACACUCAAUUUGUUUGCAGUUAAGGGAGUAUAGGAAAAUUAAUUUAUUAGCCUCAAUAUGCCUUUCUACUCCACCCUUGACAACCUCUACUCAACACCGCAUUAGUCGCAUUGAUAUCAACUUUGAAAAGGGAGUAUACCAGUGCCUACAUUCUUCUUUUUAAUGUUCAUAUUUCGUGUUUUCUUUUGUUCCCUUUUUUGUUUGGCUUUGCUUUUAGUUUCAGUUUACCAUGACAUGUAGAGCUAUGUACUUAUUCUCAUUAUUGUACCAAGUACGUGCCUUACAAACGUCACAUACAGUAAGCAAAACUAACAUGUAGAGCUAUGUACUUAUUCUCAUUAUAUAAUGCCUUACAUACGUGGUAUUUUUAUAUGCUUUUGGCCAACACCUGAUAUGAUGCCUUAUGUUAGCCAUGUUAUAAUAUCUUCUGUAUAUUUUAAACCUCAAUACCUAUAGUGUUUAACUGGAGCUAUCAACAUGCAUGAUAGGUGACCUAUGUGCGUCCACUCUUUAACCAGGCAUUAUAACAAGUUCUUAAAACACUGCAUAUUGCUUUAAUCCUUAUCAGGGAUACCUGUGCUAAAGUUUUGGAGAUGAGCCUACAAAAGCUUGGUGUUGAAAAGCUCAGUAAAGAUGAUGUGCAGAAGAUGCAGUGGGAAGUUUUGGAGGCCAAGAUUGGGAGCUGGAUUCAUUUCACGAGGAUCGAUGUCAAAACCUUAUUUGCCGGACAACAUAUAAUAUCCGAUCAAAUAUUUGAAGACAUGCACUCACUCAGGACAGUUUAUUUUGCUGAAGUUAACUAAGAAAGUGUAGUUAUGCGCCUGAGUUUUGGAGAGGCUAUUUCCAAAAGUAAGAGGUCACCUGUAAAAUUGUUUGUAUUUCUUCACAUGUACAAGAUAAUGCGGGAACUUCAGUCAUAGGUCCACGUUGAAGUUAUCAACAAAUUCAUAAAAGAAAUGGCAACCAAAAAGUUUUGGGAUCAUGUAUGCUCUCAUAUCAAAUCAAAAUUCCUAAGCGAUGGUUGAAGCAAAGUCGAGCCAACACCAGAUAAAAAAUGCAUCGCAACGGGGCAGGGCAAAGCCGCACGACACCAAAUUAAAGAUGCAUCGGGACGGGGCGAGACGUACCUUCUAUUGAUCAUUGCAUUUCAUUUCAUCUCCUUUUACGUACAAGUUACAUCUAUGACGCUUUGAUAUCUCUGUAGUUAUUAGGUGUAUACAAGUUUCAUCUCAUUUUAUUAUGUAAGUGUAUGGUAAGGCUAUACCAAAUCAAAAAUUCAUGACAUGCCAAUUUUGUUAAAAGAAGAAA